rnacentral:rRNA from 1 species
UCCAGGUAGAGAAUACUAAGGCGAUCGAGAGAACUGUGGUUAAGGAACUCGGCAAAAUGCCCCCGUAACUUCGGGAGAAGGGGGACCAGUCCUGGUGACGACAUUUACUGUCUGAGCUGGGGUUGGUCGCAGAGACCAGAGAGAAGCGACUGUUUACUAAAAACACAGGUCCGUGCGAAGUCGUAAGACGAUGUAUACGGACUGACGCCUCCCCGGUGCUGGAAGGUUAAGAGGACUGGUCAGCCACUUCGGUGGCGAAGCUGAGAAUUUAAGCCCCAGUAAACGGCGGUGGUAACUAUAACCAUCCUAAGGUAGCGAAAUUCCUUGUCGGGUAAGUUCCGACCUGCACGAAUGGCGUAACGACUUCUCUGCUGUCUCAACCACAGACUCGGCGAAAUUGCAGUACGAGUAAAGAUGCUCGUUACGCGCGGCAGGACGAAAAGACCCCGGGACCUUCACUAUAGCUUGGUAUUGGUGUUCGGUUCGGUUUGUGUAGGAUAGGUGGGAGACUGUGAAACUCGCACGCCAGUGUGGGUGGAGUCAUUGUUGAAAUACCACUCUGACCGUAUUGGACAUCUAACCUCGGACCAUGAUCUGGUUCAGGGACAGUGCCUGGUGGGUAGUUUAACUGGGGCGGUUGCCUCCCAAAAAGUAACGGAGGCGCCCAAAGGUUCCCUCAGCCUGGUUGGCAAUCAGGUGUUGAGUGUAAGUGCACAAGGGAGCUUGACUGUGAGACGUACAUGUCGAGCAGGGACGAAAGUCGGGACUAGUGAUCCGGCACCGGCAAGUGGAAGCGGUGUCGCUCAACGGAUAAAAGGUACCCCGGGGAUAACAGGCUGAUCUUCCCCAAGAGUCCAUAUCGACGGGAUGGUUUGGCACCUCGAUGUCGGCUCGUCGCAUCCUGGGGCUGGAGUAGGUCCCAAGGGUUGGGCUGUUCGCCCAUUAAAGCGGCACGCGAGCUGGGUUUAGAACGUCGUGAGACAGUUCGGUCUCUAUCCGCCGCGCGCGUAAGAAACUUGAGGAAACCUGUCCCUAGUACGAGAGGACCGGGACGGACGAACCUCUGGUGUGCCAGUUGUUCCACCAGGAGCACCGCUGGUUAGCUACGUUCGGAAGGGAUAACCGCUGAAAGCAUCUAAGCGGGAAGCCUGUUCCAAGAUGAGGUUUCUCACCACCUAGCGUGGUUAAGGCCCCCCACAGACCAUGGGGUUGAUAGGCCAGAACUGUAAGCACAGCAAUGUGUUCAGGUGACUGGUACUAAUCGGCCGAGGACUUAC